ACGAACGCUGGCGGCAUGCCUAACACAUGCCAGUCGCACGAGACCUUCGGGUCUAGUGGCGCACGGGUGCGUAACGCGUGGGAACCUGCCCUUAGGUUCGGAAUAACUCCCCGAAAGGGGUGCUAAUACCGGAUAAUGUCUUCGGACCAAAGAUUUAUCGCCUUUGGAUGGGCCCGCGUUGGAUUAGCUAGUUGGUAGGGUAAAAGCCUACCAAGGCGACGAUCCAUAGCUGGUCUGAGAGGAUGAUCAGCCACACUGGGACUGAGACACGGCCCAGACUCCUACGGGAGGCAGCAGUGGGGAAUAUUGGACAAUGGGCGAAAGCCUGAUCCAGCAAUGCCGCGUGAGUGAUGAAGGCCUUAGGGUUGUAAAGCUCUUUUACCCGGGAUGAUAAUGACAGUACCGGGAGAAUAAGCUCCGGCUAACUCCGUG
rnacentral:rRNA from 1 species